GAUGAACGCUGGCGGCGUGCCUAAUACAUGCAAGUCGAGCGAAUGGAUUAAGAGCUUGCUCUUAUGAAGUUAGCGGCGGACGGGUGAGUAACACGUGGGUAACCUGCCCAUAAGACUGGGAUAACUCCGGGAAACCGGGGCUAAUACCGGAUAACAUUUUGAACCGCAUGGUUCGAAACUGAAAGGCGGCUUCGGCUGUCACUUAUGGAUGGACCCGGGUCGCAUUAGCUAGUUGGUGAGGUAACGGCGCACCAAGGCAACGAUGCGUAGCCGACAUGAGAGGGUGAUCGGCCACACUGGGACCGGGACACGGCGCAGACUCCUACGGGAGGCAGCAGUAGGGAAUCUUCCGCCAUGGACGAAAGUCUGACGGAGCAACGCCGCGUGAGUGAUGAAGGCUUUCGGGUCGUAAAACUCUGUUGUUAGGGAAGAACAAGUGCUAGUUGAAUAAGCUGGCACCUUGACGGUACCUAACCAGAAAGCCACGGCUAACUACGUGCCAGCCGCCGCCGUAA
rnacentral:rRNA from 1 species